AGUAACCCUAAGCCGACACACCACCAGCGACCCCGACGAGCCACUAGGAACCGCCUCACUUCUCCACCCUCUCCGUCGUACCAAUAAACCCAACCACGUCUCUUCUCCAUCCUAUCUGUUGUAUCAAUAAACCCCAUCGCUGUCUCUCGUUCUGAUGAAAAAGGAUUGACACCAUAAAAUCAACACCGUAACUAGAAAUCUGACAACAAGGAGGUGUCAAUAACAAAGGCGGAGGUACAGUAGCCGAUGGGAAUUCGGCCGAAUCCACUGACUUUUCCGUAAAUUCUAUAUUUGUAUUAAAUUAUGAAGUAGAACAUACGUGUAUAUAUAUAUAUAUAUAUAUCCCGUUAUUUAAAAAUGACAAUUGUACGAACGUAGCUGUUCAAAUUUGUACUAUUUUUUGCAUUGAAGGUACCUUUUGGUGCGAUAUUUAAGACACAUGUACCCAAUAUAACACGUGUCUUCCCUUAAAUUACUCAUAACAUCUCUUAGCCCCAAUUCCUCAUAAUCCACUUUGCCUUAAUUCCAUCGCCAUGGUUGUGGAGUUUCUUUUGAAGUUCACUGACGUUGUGCUUGCAGCUUCAUUGUUCUCAGUAGUACAAAUGUAUUUUACAGUGAAGAAACCUUACCCCAGAACAAGAACCAGGUUCUUGUAAGUUGCUUUUAAGUAAAGACACAAACACUGAUUGAAUUAAAAACCUUCCUCACUCAAGGAAGGAAAAACCUCGGUUUAUUAAUUCAAUUAUAAGAUUUUGUGAUUACACCUCAAUAAUCAAGAAACCCUUAUCUCUACUACCUCUCUCGAUUGACUCCAAUCGAUCUCUCCAAAAGGCCAAACCCACCUUUUGUUACAACUCUCACUAACACUCAACCCUACAAAGAGCCAAACCCACCCUUUGUACAAUAAACUGUAAAUUACAAUCAAGAACAAAACAAGAAGAUAAUUCUACACGUUAAAAACCUUCUAACUCAAGAAUGUUUUCAACGUAGCAAACCUAUCGAUCUUGAAGACUUCAGUUUGAUAAUUAAUUCUCACUUUUCUCUCUUUGUGAAGCCGUGGUCUUCUAUUCUGCGUAUGUCCUCUUUUUAUAGAUAUUCAUGCUGCCUGGAAUCCUUAUCAAAUAAGGUGUUUUGAUAAAAGAAAUUGUUAUACCUGAAGAUGCACUUGACUCUCUAAUUCUUACGAAGUCUAAUAAAGAAAAUUUGAUAUGUGAAGGUAUGACUUGUGUGUUAUGAAGAGAGAUUAGUUACAAGAGUUGAUUAUGUUGGCGGAUGAUUCAAGGUGCUAAUGAAGUUGAACGCUGGGCUUAGAUGAAUAAACAUUUUCCUCUAUAAUAUCUUUUUUUCAUAUGGUGAUUAUUGAGAAAGAAUCUGAGUUGCCGAAUUCUCUGAUGCUGCCAUGAAAUUGGAAGUUCAUAUCUUAAUGCUGAAAAUUCAGGGUAAGCUUUCACUAUUGAUCUUUUUGUUGGUUGAAUUUGAACUACAUUUUCGAAAAAAUUCAGCUACUAAUAUUGUAAGCUGAGGUGGUAUUAAAAAAAAUUGUUUUAAAUUACAAAGUCAGAAAUAACAAACAGGUUGAAUUAGGAGAAAAGGUUGAUUUCAGGCUCUCCAAUUUCCAAGUCCUUUAAGGUACAAUUCCACAUUUUCUUAAGAAGCUUUAAACAUUUUGGCCGUUUUCUUUUGAGAACUGAAUUUUUCGCUAUUAUGUAUUAUUUAUUGAUAAGGGCCCGUGAUGUUGGUGUUGCAUUUAUUUUUAGCAGUUGUUCUUGGAUAAAAGGUGAUACUUUAAAAUUAAAAAUUCUAUUACUAGAUUGAGUUCUAGAUGUCUGUCAUAUGAUCUUAUACUUUCUCGAUGUUUUUGCUUCAUGAGUGUUCAUAUUGGUUAAGAUGCAAUUGAUAAUGUUAAAAUUAUUUUUCAUCUGAUCAAUCCAGAAAAAAAUGAACAUAAGAAAUCUAUCAAAUAAGUAACAAUGUUGACUCUAGAAAAAAAAUUGAGAAAUGAGAGUAAUAAAAUGUCCACGUAAUGGAAGAAUCCUAUAAGACUAGCUAACUCUUUUCUUUAAUCUAUCAAAUAAGAGUUUGUUUUUCAAGAGUAGCUACUGACUACUAAAUUUUUCUUAUAUCAUAUGUGAAAUAAGAGUAGUAAUUUGAGUUGGCAAUAUAAUAGUAUUGUGUUAAAGUGCUGCCAUACGCUUCUUAUAGAUACACUUCAUGUUUUCUCUUUAUUUGUAGCAUAGUAUUCUUUUCAUUGGAAUUUUGUGUCAUGGUCAUUAAUGGGUUCCUUGUGUUUUGCUUAUUGCAUUUGCAGGUUUGGCAAUGAAAUAUGAAAAAAUGGAGGUUUUAUUUAGUCCAUGUAUAAACUCUAAAAUGUCAGUGACUGUUCCGCAAACACUUUUAGCUAAUUUAUCCUCACAUUCAUUUUUUAAAUAUUUUUACUCUUGUCAUGUCCUUCAAUGGAAAUAAAACAAACAUUUAUUUUGUAUUUCACGAGAGACAAUUUUGUAUAUGAGAUGUAGGUGAGACGAAGAGAAGCUGAAAUUUUUAGUAUGUGCUCUUUCUACGUCCCCGGAUUAAGAAGCAUAAAUAGGUAGAGCGUGAUCUCUU